UCUCCCACUCUGCUUCUCUGUCACACACAGUCAUGUCACGUUCAUCCACGGUGGUGCUGUAGGUCCUGUCCCCAGAGCAGAGCCUGGGUGUGGUGGGAGAGACAAGCAGGACAGCGCAGGAGAGAAUAUGCUGCCAACACAGUCACUGCUAUGCUUCUCAAUCCUUAAUUCCUGCCCUGUGAUCUGGUCCCUCUGGUUAGGCCUCUGCUCCACCUUCUACCCCUGCAGUGGUCACUGCAUGUGCAAGUGUUAUCCCGACAUUCUUGCAGAGAGAAAACAGCACAAACUCUUUGCAAAAGAGGAAAGACUGGGGUGCUCUCAGCCUACUUCGUGAGUCAGCUUUACCUUCCCGCAAAUGCCAGCAAAGAAAUCGCAAGAAAAAACAAACGACAACAAAACAACAGAAACCAGACCCAUGUCCCCCAUGGACAUAGAUGCAAUCAUCCCCUGCAGAUACCAGCAAGCUGAAUCAGGAAAUACUAAAAAAUGAUAAUAUGUCAUAAUAAAAUGGGGUUUUUCUUGGGAAUACAUGUGAUUCAAUAUUCAAAAUUCAAACAAUAUAUUCACCAUACCACCUGACAAGAAGAAAGCUAAAUGAUUAUCUCAUUAGAUGCAGGAAAAACUUGACAAGUUUAAUGGCAACACUCAGAUAAUUAGAAAUAUAAUAAAAAAUUUCUCAAGUUGGCAAAGGGCAUCUGCAGAACAAACAAACAGUGAACCAUAAACACACACAGAAAACAUCAUAUGUAAUGGUAAGACUGAAUGCUUUCCCCCUAAGAUCAGGAACAAGGCAAGAUUGUU
rnacentral:lncRNA from 1 species